GGGAGUGAGGAUGAGAUUGAGAGAGAGGAUGAGAGGGGAGGAUGAGAAGCAGGAGUCACAAAAGUGAAAACAAUUUCAAAUAUAUUUCAGUUUUUAGUUUUUGUUUUCACUUUUGUUACUCAUCCCUCCCAUCUUCCACUCUCAUGUUCCUUCUCAAUCCCAUCUCCACUCUCA
rnacentral:miRNA from 1 species